UCUAGGGUGUUAGGGUGUUAGAUCCGUGAGCUUGACAUAAAUAAGUUAUAAAUCGAUUGUCUUCAUUCACUGUUGUUCUUAAGGCUUGCAUCAAGUUAACCACUUAGUGCCUGAUUCUAGGUUUAAUCUAUUCAUCAAAAGUGUUAUAGGUUGCUAGACAUAACAUGAAUGAGCAUUGCAUCCCUAAUCAGCGAAAGUAGAUAUUAGGGUGUUUUGUGAACAUAUCGGACUUGAUCUCUAUUGCUUGCUGUCGCAUCUUGAUCUAAAC
rnacentral:lncRNA from 1 species